rnacentral:rRNA from 1 species
CCUACGGGAGGCAGCAGUGGGGAAUCUUGCGCAAUGGGCGAAAGCCUGACGCAGCAACGCCGCGUGCGGGAAGAAGGCUUUCGGGCUGUAAACCGCUUUCAGCAGGAACGAAAAUGACGGUACCUGCAGAAGAAGGAGCGGCCAACUAUGUGCCAGCAGCCGCGGUGAUACAUAGGCUUCAAGCGUUGUCCGGAUUUAUUGGGCGUAAAGAGUUCGUAGGCGGUCGAGUAAGUCGGGUGUGAAAAUUCUGGGCUCAACCCAGAGACGCCACCCGAUACUGCUUGACUUGAGUUCGAUAGGGGAGUGGGGAAUUCCUAGUGUAGCGGUGAAAUGCGCAGAUAUUAGGAGGAACACCGGUGGCGAAGGCGCCACUCUGGAUCGAUACUGACGCUGAGGAACGAAAGCAUGGGUAGCAAACAGGAUUAGAUACCCUGGUAGUCCAUGCCGUAAACGGUGGGCACUAGGUGUGGGUUUCUAUUAACGAAGUCCGCGCCGUCGCUAACGCAUAGUGCCCGCCGUCGGGAGGUACGGUCGCGAGAACGUAAACCUACAAAUAGUAAGUUAGUACGGUUCGUUGUAGACGUUGCCGAACGGCGACGACGAGGGAGGAGG